UCCAGACUCCUACGGGAGGCAGCAGUGAGGAAUAUUGGUCAAUGGUCGGGAGACUGAACCAGCCAAGCCGCGUGAGGGAGGAAGGUACAGAGUAUCGUAAACCUCUUUUGUCAGGGGACAAAGACUGGGACGCGUCCCCGGAUGAGUGUACCUGAAGAAAAAGCAUCGGCUAACUCCGUGCCAGCAGCCGCGGUAAUACGGAGGAUGCGAGCGUUAUCCGGAUUUAUUGGGUUUAAAGGGUGCGUAGGCGGGAUGCCAAGUCAGCGGUAAAAAUGCGGUGCUCAACGCCGUCGAGCCGUUGAAACUGGCGUCCUUGAGUGGGCGAGAAGUAUGCGGAAUGCGUGGUGUAGCGGUGAAAUGCAUAGAUAUCACGCAGAACUCCGAUUGCGAAGGCAGCAUACCGGCGCCCUACUGACGCUGAGGCACGAAAGCGUGGGUAUCGAACAGGAUUAGAUACCCUUGUAAA
rnacentral:rRNA from 1 species